UACGGAGGGUGCGAGCGUUGUCCGGAAUCAUUGGGCGUAAAGGGCGCGUAGGUGGCCCGGUCAGUCUUUGGUGAAAGCGCGGGGCUCAACCCUGCGUCGGCCAGGGAUACUGCCGCGGCUCGAGCACUGUAGAGGCAGGCGGAAUUCCGGUGGUAGCGGUGGAAUGCGUAGAGAUCCGGAAGAACACCGGUGGCGAAGGCGGCCCGCUGGGCAGGAAGGCCCCUCACGGG
rnacentral:rRNA from 1 species